UUGAAGACAUCAAUAACUUGUAAUAUUGCACUCAGGAUCUCAACCCACUAGUCAAAUGAAAACUAGUAUCAUUUAGAAAUCUCUCAUGUUUUUCUCCAAAUCAACACAACACAUCAGUACAAUGGUUGAACAGAUUGCAUAUACACAUUAGUUGAUUUGUAACCUGGUUGACUUCCUUCGAAUUUCUGACAGCCUUCUUGCACAACUGAUUUUAGGAUCAGCCGUUAGUAUUCUUGCCAUAUCUUAAUCCUGAUCCAAAUAGGAAAACUCCAUCAAAUAUAUAACUAUAGUUCAUCAUUGGUUUCAUACUAUCCAUGCAAACCUUGAUCUUCUAAUCCAAAAGACAAAUCAUACUUUAGUAAUAAAAUAUCCAACACUCCAACCAUUGUUAAUUUUUAUAUGUUCCAAGUUAACCUUUUGAUUGUGUGUGAUGUAAUAGUGCGCAUAAUGUAUUUUUACUUGCAGCUUUCUGUAUGCUAUCUAUUGAAUCUAUUAUCAACACGAAAUUUAGGAGGUUCAGAACAGAUAAUGCUGCAUGCAAACGAAGAGUAAAAGCGUCAAACAUUACUGCAGUAAAAACCACAAAGAUACUGUGAAAUGAAGCCGAAUACUUAGUACGGAAAACAAGCAUUCCAUACAGUGUUCAAUUAAAGAGCCUUGAAAUAGAACUUCAUAGAAAAAAACUUGACAAUAUCUCCUUGCAUGGCAAAUGACAGCAGGUAAGUUUCAUAGUCAAGAACCAACAGAGUCUGACCACCAAGGCAUUUCAGUGGUGCGCGACAUACAUAUGCAACGAAACAUGAGUGCAACAGUUCAUAUGUGGAUUUGUGUACUCGGAUGUCUUUAUUUUAGUUUUUCAGGUAUGACCUGAAGAAAUAAGAUCUGCACACGUGCAUGCUCAUUCAUGCUAUAGAUCGGACCAAUUUGGUAUUUCCCCUUGCAAAACCACUUCACUCAGGUAUAUUGACUUCCAUUCCAUUUUUAUAAGCAGAGGAAUGCAUGCAGAAGAAACGUUGCUCCCUCUGAUAAGCAAAUGUAAAGUCAUCCCAGAAUGUGUGAAGUCAGAUGAUUGUAGCUUUAACUGUAUAUAUGUCCAAAAACACCUAAUAGUCAACAUGAAAAUGUAAAUAAUAUACUUUUGAGAUAUUAUUUUGAAAUUUCUAACAGACUAUUAUAAUAGAAUUUAACAUCAAAGUAUUACUUUACUGACCAUGUGAAUGUCACAUUGAAUCAGAGUAUCUGUUCACUAGCAUCAGAAAGACAAGGUUUGCCUUGUGCCUUCUGGGGGACAUCAACAAAAUCUCCACCAACCCAAUGGCAUGAAGGCCCCAUGGUAGCAACCAUCUUGCAAAUGAUCACACUCAACACCAUCCCAAAUUCCCAAUCAACUUUGAUGUUUCACCCCAGAACUUCAAUCUUAAGAAAAUCUAAGAGAAUUGCAAUCUGACAGCCUGCCAGAAUUUAAAUAUAUUGAAAAAUAAAUGAAGCUACAAUCUUGUGCCAACAUGGGACAGCAAUGAAUAAUAAACGAAGGCCCCAUACUUUUUCAUGGGACUGAAUUUUCGGCCUUCGUUUAUCUCAAUCAUCAAAAUCAUGGAACUCAUUUGAACUGCUCUUUGAACAAUAAAGAAAGAGCUAAGGUAAAAAAAAUACAUGUGUUACUAAUAGUAAACUUUUUUUAGUUUUCUUUCAGCUGAACAUGAUGAACAUAGAAUUUCCACAAUAAGUGCAUUUAAGAGAAAAAUAUAGGUUGUGUUCUUACCGAGGAGAAUAUGGCGUUCUUUGCCAAGACCUUGUAAAAUGUCAAAUCUCUGAGGAUGAUAGAAUAACCUGACAAAAUUCAGUGUUCAGAGAAGUGCAUAAACUCAAAAAGAG
rnacentral:lncRNA from 1 species